AUGGUGGCUUUGAAAAGGCAAGUGCCAGUUUAUCAGGAAACAUGUAUCUCCAUUUCUGGCAGUGAACUGACGGUUUCAGACACUCAUGAGAAAGCGUCCUACGUGGAAUGCCCAGAAGUCGGAGAACUGUCAGACAUCUGGCCGUUAACCACAUUCCUACGCAGGGGCUACACUGCGCAUGUCCGAAGGGGCGUGUCAGGGGUGGGGCGAGGAGGAGGUACCGUUCCGAUGCAGAGACGGUGCCGAGGGAAGGGGCGGGGCGAGGAGAAGGGGCAGAGCCGAGGGAAGAGGCGGGGCGAGUCCAGCUCCAGGAGGAGGAGCGUUACUAUGGGAACCUUGACAGGUUUGUGCUAUGUACUAACAUGCAAUACAAAUACUGAUGAAAACAAAACUAUUGCCCUCCUACCAAAUGGGAAAUUAAUGUUAUGACUGGAUAAAUUCGAGGUUGUCUAUCUCCGUUUUCUGAUGGAAAAGCGUGGAGUUCAGAAGCAUUGCUCGCUCCUUCAGUUUCUAACAAGUCAGUAAUCUCAUAGCAAUUUAAAUUUAAAUGUUUGAAUUACCUCUCCUUCCCUGGUUCAGAGUAAGUAUGUUGUUUUUCUAUUUGUAAAACUUCUGACUCUGGGUUUUUUCAGUUGGGCUUUAGAGAGGGCAACUCCCAUAUUGCUGUUAUAUCUAUUUCUCUUUGGCAUCUGGCUGCAUCUGAUAAAGAUUAUAGAAUUAGAUCUGGUUCUGUAUAUAUUUUGGGACCAAAAAUUCAAAGUAAUCAACUCAAGAUAGGAGUCUACAACUUUAAUUCUUAAUAAAAGAUUUCCUUUGAUUUCCCCAAAUCUUUAUGAUUCCUAGAAGAAAUUCACCCAUGGGUGAAGCAUGUGGCUCUGUUGAAUAAAGUUUUGUUGGGGAUUUCCACAUUGAGUUUCAUGAGGCAUACUAUUUUACAGGGUUUUUUUUUUUUUUUUUUUUUUUUUGGUACUUCCUUUCUCUGAUUCUAUUGGAGAGUAAUACUAGCUUCCUAAAAUAUAUUGGGAAAUGUUCCCUCUUCUACUUUUGGACAAUAUUAAACUCAUAAUGACAAGUUUUCUUGUGAAAAUGUUCUGAAAAAAAUGUAGGGUGGGCCAGUCAUGGUGGCUCACACCUGUAAUUCCAGCACUUUGGGAGG